rnacentral:misc_RNA from 1 species
AAUGAUGAAAUAAAUAAAAAUAAAAUACAAAAAAAAUUAAGGAAAAAUAAAAGAGAUGAAAUGUAACUAGGUUAAAUGAGCUGCGGUUCUAGCGAUGGGUGACCGUAUCAGAAAGUCACUGCGUAGAUAGUUGACGACCCCAGACCUGCGAGGAACCUUAGGAAAUAAUUUUCAGGACUUAAUUAAAGAUUUAAUAAGGUACAAAUAAUAUUAAAAAUGUCAAAGAAAAUGUAGUUAAUCGGUACAAAUGAAAAUGAAAUUAAAGGAACCGUCGGAUCAGAGAUUUAAUAGGUAUUACUGAAAAAGUAUGAUUAUAAACCGAAGAAGGGCAUUUUGGUCAUUUGACACUUAGAGUUGAAUUUUGACCUAAAUUUCCAUUAAA